rnacentral:rRNA from 1 species
CAAGUCGAACGAUUAAACUUUCCUUCGGGAAAGAUAUAGAGUGGCGCACGGGUGAGUAACACGUAGGUAAUCUACCUUUGAGUGGGGAAUAACAAUCGGAAACGAUUGCUAAUACCGCAUAAUGCAGCGGCAUCUUAUGAUGACAGUUGUUAAAGGAGCAAUCCGCUUAAAGAGGAGCCUGCGGCAGAUUAGCUAGUUGGUAAGGUAAUGGCUUACCAAGGCUACGAUCUGUAACCGACCUGAGAGGGUGGUCGGUCACACUGACACUGAAUAACGGGUCAGACUCCUACGGGGGGCAGCAGUCGGGAAUUUUGGGCAAUGGGCGAAAGCCUGACCCAGCAACGCCGCGUGAAGGAUGAAGUCUUUCGGGAUGUAAACUUCGUAAGAAUGGGAAGAAUAAAUGACGGUACCAUUUGUAAGGUCCGGCUAACUACGUGCCAGCAGCCGCGGUAAUACGUAGGGACCAAGCGUUGUUCGGAUUUACUGGGCGUAAAGGGCGCGUAGGCGGCAAUUCAAGUCAGUUGUGAAAUCUCCGAGCUUAACUCGGAACGGUCAACUGAUACUGUUUUGCUAGAGUGCAGAAAGGGCAACCGGAAUUCUUGGUGUAGCGGUGAAAUGCGUAGAUAUCAAGAGGAACACCUGAGGCGAAGGCGGGUUGCUAGGCUGACACUGACGCUGAGGCGCGAAAGCUAGGGUAGCAAACAGGAUUAGAUACCCCGGUAGUCCUAGCCCUAAACGAUGUAUGCUUGGUGUCUGGAGUUUUUAUCUCUGGGUGCCGUCGCUAACGCUUUUAGCAUACCGCCUGGGG